AAUCCAUAGGUUAAUGAGGCGAACCGGGGGAACUGAAACAUCUAAGUACCCCGAGGAAAAGAAAUCAACCGAGAUUCCCCCAGUAGCGGCGAGCGAACGGGGAGGAGCCCAGAGCCUGAAUCAGCAUGUGUGUUAGUGGAAGCGUCUGGAAAGGCGCGCGAUACAGGGUGACAGCCCCGUACACAAAAGCGCAUGUGCUGUGAGCUCGAUGAGUAGGGCGGGACACGUGGUAUCCUGUCUGAAUAUGGGGGGACCAUCCUCCAAGGCUAAAUACUCCUGACUGACCGAUAGUGAACCAGUACCGUGAGGGAAAGGCGAAAAGAACCCCGGCGAGGGGAGUGAAAAAGAACCUGAAACCGUGUACGUACAAGCAGUGGGAGCCCCACCACUAAGCCAGUGGUGAACUCCACAUCCGCAUCCUUUGCUGAGGAUACGGUUAACGGAGCGAAAGCGACGUUCAACCGCAAAACAAGCAGAGGGGGC
rnacentral:rRNA from 1 species